rnacentral:tRNA from 1 species
AUCCAUGUAACGCAAUGAAUAGCGCGUGUUGGACUUCUUAUCCAAAGGUCGUGGGUUCGAAUCCCACCUGGGAUG